GGAGAGUUGUCCGAGUGGUCGAAGGUGCAGCACUCGAAAUGCUGUAAGCCGAAAGGCUUCUAGGGUUCGAAUCCCUAACUCUCCGCCA
rnacentral:tRNA from 5 species